GACGAACCGUGCGAACGUUGUUCGGAAUCACUGGGCUUAAAGGGCGCGUAGGCGGGUCGGCCAGUCAGGGGUGAAAGCCCGCGGCUCAACCGCGGAAGAGCCUUUGAUACUGCCGGCCUGGAGGGAGGCAGGGGAGCGCGGAACUUCCGGUGGAGCGGUGAAAUGCGUAGAUAUCGGAAGGAACACCGGUGGCGAAAGCGGCGCUCUGGUCCUCUUCUGACGCUGAGGCGCGAAAGCCAGGGGAGCAAACGGG
rnacentral:rRNA from 1 species